rnacentral:rRNA from 1 species
GACGAACGCUGGCGGCGUGCUUAAUACAUGCAAGUCGAACGGAAAGGCCCUGCUCUUGCGUGGUGCUUGAGUGGCGAACGGGUGAGUAAAACGCGUGUAACCUGCCCCUGACUUUGGGAUAUCUUUAGGAAAAUCGGGCGCUUAUAGGAUAGGAGCUUCUGCAGCACGGUGGGGGAUGGAAAGAUACGGCGGUGGGGGCUGGUCUCGCUGCUUCUCCGCUUGUUGGUGGAGUAGUGACUGACAAAGCCUUCGACGGGUAGCCGGCCUGGGAGGGUGACCAGCCACAUUGGGACUGCGAGAGGGCGCAGACUCCAACGGGAGGCAGCGGUGGAGAAUAUUGCACAAUGGGGGGAAGCCAGAUGCAGCAGCGCCGCGUGCGGGAUGACGGCCUUCGGGUUGUAAACAGCUUUCUCCGGUGACGAAGCGUGAGUGACGGUAAUGGGUAAGAAAGCACCGGCUAACUACGUG